rnacentral:lncRNA from 1 species
UUAAAUGAGAUGAUGGGCUCGAAAAUCAGGCCCAAGCACCAUAGAGCAUACAAAUUCCCAUUUACAGGUGACCCCAAGUUUGAGCCCAAAGUAGACCCCAAUGACAGUCCAAUACAAACAUAUGACAGAAGGAUUCAAACCCCCAAAUGAAAUCAAAAUGGCAAACCUAAAGUCUAAAUACAAACUCAAUACAAAUUUUAAUAUUCAUGGCACGAGUAAAUAAAAUGAGUGAUGUGAUGAAACAUGAAUUGAUAUAGAACUAAGACAAGUUUCAGUAAUACAAAUGGGCAAUCAGCCAAACUAGAGUCUACAUCUCCAACAAUGCUUCCGAUUCAAACUUCAUAUAUUGAUAAAAAUCCAAAGAGGUGGUUACAGCAAAGACAACAAAUAAAAUGAUCCUGAGAUUAGGAGGAAAGCAGCAGCAGUGUAUCAGCAAUAAGUAGCACAACCCACAGUCAAGUUUUACACCAUUUUGCACCCAGAUUAACACAGUUCUUUCGAGUUUUUAGGAGAAUCUGACUAACAAUGGAGGUCAAAGUGCAAAACCAAGCAAAUUUCCAAACAAAUUUUAGUAUUUUUUUCAAAGUCUAAAAUGCUCAGUCGUUUCUGAAAAUUUUAGGGUUCUAAACUCUAAAUUCUCUCCCUUGAAAAGAAAGAAAACAAGUCUCUUAUAGAAGACCUCUAGGGCAGCAGAAUUGGUUUCAGGUUUUUACCAAUUACCCCUUCUUCAAUUUUCAAUUUGUUCAUUUUUAACCAAGAAUUUUAAAACCAACUUCUGAAACUACCCAACCCUCUCUUUCCUGGAAGUUUCCUAUUCAGUUAUAAGAGAUUCCCUCUAGUUGGAAUGACCAAAAUAACCCUUAACACCCCUACAUUUACUUGCCAACUACUGAACCAAAACUCAAAGGAAAAUUUCGGGCCACUUCUUCCCCAACAAAGAUGGGCCAAAUAACCCAAAAGGCCCAAACAAGAAUUUUCAAAAUGAAACUGACUAAACAACAUCAUUUAAAAAUGCACUGUGACUGACUUUCAAACCAAACCAUGCUAAAAUGCAUCAAUCAAUUAAAACAAAUAACAAUAUGAAAACAGCAGGCCUGAUGAUUGCUCUAAUCUUUAAAGAAUUUAGCCUAAUCAAACAAACUAGACAAUUAACCUAUGGAACACAUGAUAAACCAAAAAAUAUUCGGUGCGCAAAGAUUAAAUAUUGAAGAGAAGAGUCAAAAAAACAAAGAAAAAAUACACAAAGAAAACAAGGAUAAAAGAAACAUGAGUAAACCUGAUUAGAGGAAAGUGGAAGAAAAGGUAAAAAAACGUAGAAGAAAAGAAAAAAUAAAAAAGAUAGGCAAAAGGGAAAAAUAAAAAGAAAAUACCUAAUACUUGACUCUCAGAAGCUCCGGCCAUUCCGAUUUGAGCUCAAAAUUUAUGUCAACUGUGUAUUCUUGUCAAGAACAAAUGGGCAAUGUCAGUUUCGUGCAAAAUAGAACCUUUUAGCUUUGCAUGCCCUAGAUUCCGGGUUAGGGUGGAUUUGGGCUUUUAGGGCUUCGACCUUAGAUCUAAAAUUCAAACAAAUGGAGAGGGAUUCGAUGAAAGUUGUUUUAAUAUUUAGGAAGAGGAGAGGCCACGGAUCAUGGGGUGUAAUUUUGAGGUGGAUUGGGGGUUGCGCCGCCGGCGGAUGGCUUGGGAAUUUCAGGGCAGCGGAUUUAGGGUUCAUGGAGUUUCUUUGAGUGAGAAGAUGAGUGAGUGGGUAGAUUGGGGGGG